rnacentral:rRNA from 1 species
UACAGAGACUGCAAGCGUUAUUCGGAUUCACUGGGCGUAAAGGGUGCGCAGGCGGUUGGGUGUGUCAGAUGUGAAAUCCCGGAGGCUUAACCUCGGAACUGCGUCUGAAACUACUCGACUAGAGUGAUUGGAGAGGGUAACGGAAUUCACGGUGUAGCAGUGAAAUGCGUAGAUAUCGUGAGGAACACCAGAGGCGAAGGCGGUUACCUGGACAAUUACUGACGCUCAGGCACGAAAGCGUGGGGAGCAAACGGG